GGCUGGGUAGCUCAGUGGAUUGAGAGCCUAGCCCUAGAGGUGGGAGGUCCUAGGUUCGAAUCCAGCCUCAGCCA
rnacentral:tRNA from 1 species